rnacentral:rRNA from 1 species
CAGUUCGGAUUGUAGGCUGAAACUCGCCUACAUGAAGCUGGAGUUACUAGUAAUCGCAGAUCAGAAUGCUGCGGUGAAUGCGUUCCCGGGUCUUGUACACACCGCCCGUCACACCACGGAAGUUGGGGGCGCCCGAAGCCACUUAGCUAACCCUUUGGGAAGCGAGUGUCGAAGGUGAAAUCAAUAACGUGGGGUGAAGUCGUAACAAGGUAGC